GAUGGGAGCUUGCUCCCUGAUGUUAGCGGCGGACGGGUGAGUAACACGUGGGUAACCUGCCUGUAAGACUGGGAUAACUCCGGGAAACCGGGGCUAAUACCGGAUGGUUGUCUGAACCGCAUGGUUCAGACAUAAAAGGUGGCUUCGGCUACCACUUACAGAUGGACCCGCGGCGCAUUAGCUAGUUGGUGAGGUAACGGCUCACCAAGGCGACGAUGCGUAGCCGACCUGAGAGGGUGAUCGGCCACACUGGGACUGAGACACGGCCCAGACUCCUACGGGAGGCAGCAGUAGGGAAUCUUCCGCAAUGGACGAAAGUCUGACGGAGCAACGCCGCGUGAGUGAUGAAGGUUUUCGGAUCGUAAAGCUCUGUUGUUAGGGAAGAACAAGUGCCGUUCAAAUAGGGCGGCACCUUGACGGUACCUAACCAGAAAGCCACGGCUAACUACGUGCCAGCAGCCGCGGUAAUACGUAGGUGGCAAGCGUUGUCCGGAAUUAUUGGGCGUAAAGGGCUCGCAGGCGGUUUCUUAAGUCUGAUGUGAAAGCCCCCGGCUCAACCGGGGAGGGUCAUUGGAAACUGGGGAACUUGAGUGCAGAAGAGGAGAGUGGAAUUCCACGUGUAGCGGUGAAAUGCGUAGAGAUGUGGAGGAACACCAGUGGCGAAGGCGACUCUCUGGUCUGUAACUGACGCUGAGGAGCGAAAGCGUGGGGAGCGAACAGGAUUAGAUACCCCUGGUAGUCCACGCCGAAAACGAGGAGUGUAAGGGGUUUAGGGGGUUUCCGCCCCUUAGUGCUGCAGCUAACGCAUAAGCACUCCGGCUGGGGGGAGUACGGUCGCAGACUGAACUCAAGGGAAA
rnacentral:rRNA from 1 species